CCUGGCGGCUGUAGCGCGGUGGUCCCACCUGACCCCAUGCCGAAUUCAGAAGUGAAACGCCGUAGCGCCGAUGGUAGUGUGGGGUCUCCCCAUGCGAGAGUAGGGAACUGCCAGGC
rnacentral:rRNA from 3 species